GUCGAACGGUAACAGAAGAGAGCUUGCUCUCUUGCUGACGAGUGGCGCACGGGUGAGUAAUAUAUAGAUAAUGUGCCUCUUAGUCUGGGAUAGCCAUUGGAAACGAUGAUUAAUACUGGAUACUCCUUCUAAUCUUAAGAUUAGUUGGGAAAGUUUUUCGCUAAGAGAUCGGUCUAUAUCCCAUCAGCUUGUUGGUAGUGUAAGAGACUACCAAGGCUAUGACGGGUAGCGGGUUUGAGAGGAUGAUCCGCCACACUGGUACUGAGACACGGACCAGACUCCUACGGGAGGCAGCAGUGAGGAAUAUUGCACAAUGGGGGAAACCCUGAUGCAGCAACGCCGCGUGGAGGAUGACGCAUUUCGGUGUGUAAACUCCUUUUAUAUGUCAAGAAAAUGACGGUAGCAUAUGAAUAAGCACCGGCUAACUCCGUGCCAGCAGCCGCGGUAAUACGGAGGGUGCAAGCGUUACUCGGAAUCACUGGGCGUAAAGGACGCGUAGGCGGGUUGGAAAGUCUGAUGUGAAAUCCUACAGCUUAACUGUAGAACUGCAUUGGAAACUUCCAAUCUAGAGUAUGGGAGGGGGAGAUGGAAUUANUGGNUGUAGGGGUAAAAUCCGUAGAUAUCACUAGGAAUACCGAAAGCGAAGGCGAUCUCCUGGAACAUUACUGACGCUNAGGCGUGAAAGCGUGGGGAGCAAACGGGAUUAGAUACCCCGGUAGUCCACGCCCUAAACGAUGAACACUAGUCGUCGGGAUGCUUGUCAUCUCGGUGAUGCACUUAACAGAUUAAGUGUUCCGCCUGGGGAGUACGGUCGC
rnacentral:rRNA from 1 species